rnacentral:rRNA from 1 species
GACGAACCGAGCGAACGAUGUUCGGAAUCACUGGGCUUAAAGGGCGCGUAGGCGGGUGAUCAAGUCCGGGGUGAAAUCCUCCAGCUCAACUGGAGAACUGCCUCGGAUACUGGUUGCCUCGAGGAAGGUAGGGGUGUGUGGAACGUUCAGUGGAGCGGUGAAAUGCAUUGAUAUUGAACGGAACUCCGGUGGCGAAGGAGACACACUGGACCUUUUCUGACGAUGAGUCGCGAAAGCUAGGGGAGCAAACGGG